GACGAACGCUGGCGGCGUGCCUAAUACAUGCAAGUCGAGCGAAGCGGCGGAUGGGUGAGUAACGCGUGGGUAACCGGCCCUUAAGUCUGGGAUACCAGUUGGAAACAGAUGCUCAUACCGGAUACUAAAAGAUUGACUUCCGAUGCAUUAGCUAGUUGGUAAGGUAACGGCUUACCAAGGCGAUGAUGCAUAGCUGGGUUGAGAGACUGAUCGGCCACAUUGGGACUGAGACACGGCCCAGACUCCUACGGGAGGCAGCAGUAGGGAAUAGUGCACAAUGGGCGAAAGUCUGAUGGAGCAACGCCGCGUGAAUGAAGAAGGUUUUCGGAUCGUAAAGCACUGUUGUUGGGGAAGCGGUAAUCAAAGAGAAAGUCACGGCUAACUCCGUGCCAGCCGCCGCGGUAAUUC
rnacentral:rRNA from 1 species